AUCGCUGCCCCCCCACACAACUCGUCCCCCACGCGGGAUGUUUGUGCGGGCAGGGGCACACACUGGCCUCCCGUGCGCACCGUCGUGCGGAUGGCUUAAAUUCGAGUCCCCGACGCUCGUCGUCGCGACACUACGGUGGUUGAUCCAACCUCGGUACCGCGUCUCGACCUCGACGUCGCAUCCACGGGCUCCUGCACGACCCUCCGAACGCCGCCCCCAAAAGGACGACGCUCUCGAC
rnacentral:rRNA from 1 species